rnacentral:lncRNA from 1 species
CUGACGGUACAUAUAUGUUCUCCUAAGAAAUAUCCAAAAUUUUUACAAAAGUUGCUGUGAAAUUUUUAUAAACAAAAUCAGCACAAUAUUAUUUAUAGAUGUGUACAAACGAUCGUUCAAUAAGUAUAUUGGAUGUAUUCUACAAAAAAAAAAAACAAAAAAAACAACAAAUAUUCGUGUUUCUAAAAGUAUACAAUUUCUUGUUUGUUAUAUCACAUAUCAAAAAUAAAAAAAUUGAGCAUGUUUAGAUGGAGCAUUCAUAUAAGACUAGCUAGCUAGUAUAGUAUAAUUGUUAUAUAAAGAAAAUGAACCAAAAUAGUCACAUACUGUAUAUUAAAUUCUAGUAUAGAGUUAUUACAAAUGUCGUGCCCAUGAGGUAAUAACAAUAACAUACAUGGAGAGUAGAGAAACACACGAUCAACACAUAGACAUGUCCAAGAUAAAUAUAUACAUGCAAACAUGUUUCUUUUUUCACCAUUUAACCAAUCUAUUUUUAUUUUAAAUAGUAACAUAUUACAUAUACAUAUGAGUAUAUGACGUACGAUGAAACUCAUGUUACGAUAACACCUAGCUAGUGCUAGUUCUCCGGCGACCAGAGAAAAGCUCCGAUGACAAACUUCCUCUUCUCGUAAGAAUCUCCGAUGAUCGGCAAGCCGUACUCUCUAAGAAGCUGGUCCAAUUGCCACUCUGGCAUUUUCUCAUAAUCACUUUUCGUAUACUUUGGAUAAUGAAGUGGAAUCUGAAAACUUGAUUGGUUUUGAUGAGACUUGUCGUGAUUGAUGAUGUUCGUCUUCUUGCUCCUAUGAUCCUCACCAUCAUCUUGAUGAUCAUGAUGACUCCUGUAGUGAAUGGUUGUAGUCGAAGGACCAUGGCUGAAUCUGAUUCCCAUUUUGAUAUAUUAUUUGACAAGAAAGCUUAUUAGCUAGCUAGGUUUCUUGAGAUGAUUUGUAAUUAGGGCUUUUCAGGUUUUUCUUAUGUGGAUAUGGGAGAUGUGUUUAUUAUAUAGGAGGAGAAAACAAAUUUGUGGAUAUGUGAAGAACUUCGUGGGAUCAUGUAGAUGCAAGCACGUACUAGAUUUUAGAAGACUUAUUUUCUUUAAAGUUUUAGUUAUUUUUUUUUGCAACUAUGAAAAUGAUAAUGUUAUAUUUUUAGUUUUGUUCUUUUGUGUGUUAAUGUUUGUCUUUUGUGAGUUUAAUUUAUUUCGAUCGUCGACUAGAUCAAAUGCCAUAUACAAAAUUUUCAUUUCAUAUACAAAUUGAUAACGAGUAAUAAUAAAUCACCAUGAGUACUCUAGUAAUUAGACUCAAAACCCUAUGAAAAAAAAUUAGACUAAAAUUAAAGAUAAAUAUGUUGGUGUAUAUAUGUGUAAAGAGAUAUAUAUAUACUCGGAGAUACAUAUAAGUGUUCCCAAUACUAGAAUCAUGAUUAUGCAACAUCAUCAUUGUAGAGUUUUAUUAUGCAAAAGGAGUGUGAUUGGUUGGCGCCGUGGUUGAAGAGUUUUAUUUAAAAAAUUUAACUGUUGGUUGCCACUUUUAAAAAGUAAUUAUUAUUGGUUUAAGAAAGAUGCUAAACAAGAACAAAAAUAAAAUGAUUACGACUGUUUUCUAGGUAGAUUUUUAAAAUAAGUAGGGCCUAAUUAAUCAGAAAGAUAAAACAUGGAUUUAAAAACUUUCGAAUUAUUUAAAAGUCACUUCUUAUUUUCUUAAUUAGUGAAUGACAAACUGUAUAAAUAUUAAUUUUUUUUUAUGUAGAACACGCAAAUUUAUUUUAAGGUGGCAAAAGAGCUCUUAAAUUUUAAAAUGCACCUUAAUAAUAUAUAUGGAUAAUCAAAAAUACGUACUCACAUCUUGAAAAACAUUUCACACAUUUUAGAAAGCGGAUUUUUACAAUUUCAAUGUUAUAGGGCUAAUUUGUUUUGUUAUAUAUAUAUAAAAAACGAAUAUCUUGUUUGUAAUGAAAAUAAUCAAUAUUGGAGGUUGCAAUAUUAUCACCUCACAUAUUAAAUGCAUCAAGAUAACUCUUUUUCUUUUGUGUGUGUAUCUUUGUAUUUCUCAUUAAUUGGCUUUAGUUGAAUUUUACAAAUAUUCGUUUUCACACAAUAUAAGCGAAUUUAAUGCUUAUUUUUUGUUUUGUUAUCGACAUCCCUUAUAGUAACUGUAAGACUACGAUUGAAUUUAGUGUUGAAGCAACUUGGUGAUUGAAACAAAACAAAACAAAACAAAACAAAACAAACAAGUUUCUCAAUAAUUAAAUUUUCAUGCUUUGAAGAUGGUUUAACUCAGGUUUAUCAGACUCAAAACACGCAAAAUAAUGCUAGUAUUCUAAACUGCUAAUUCUCUAUUGGUCUAAAUGAAUAACCCUAAUGAUGAUCAUCUAUUAAAAAGCUCAAUGUAUACCGUUUCACACGACACGAUGACAAUUAUAACAUUGAAACCAUUAGUGGAAGAGUUAGUUUGAUCGUUUCUCGAAAUAAAUGAGGAAGAUGAGCAGACCCCAUUAGAGAUUCUUUGGAACCAUUCUAAAAUCUUUUCUACUUGCGCAUGCAUGCGACGACUAGUUCUUUCUCUUUAUUGUUUUACUACAAGUGAGUGAGUAGUGACCUAUCGUUACGGAUUUGGCUUUACCAUUUAUUUCACUUUUUGUCAAUGUGUCUUAAAUAACCUAUGCAGUGACUCGUGGCCAUCUAUGGGAUGUCACACUAGUAUGUAUGAUCAACUUCAAAUAUACGAAACCGUAUUAAGAAAAUUGGAUAAACUACCAUUUAUUAAGAAAUUGAUUGAUUUAUCAGUUUGUAACAACGAAGAUAUAGAUGGGAUGGGAUGAUAUACAAAGUUACGUAAUACAUCUUCAACCUCUUACUACUACAUAAAUGAGAAAAUCUAGAAAUAGUUUUGUUAUCAUUCUGUGUAGUCAUGCUCGACAUGUAUGACUAAUUGACUAGUGUUUUUGAAAUAAGAGAUGGAAGCUAAAUCAAAUUGUUCUAUAUUUUUUUUGGGUUUUUGUUUCUUACUUAAACUUUAACUUGUAGAACAAUUUGUUUUCACUUGACCAGACAGGGAAGGCCAAUACAAAGCAAGCCCAAUGUCUUCGAUAAACCAAAGCCGAACCGAACUCUUGAUAACUCAACCAAUAUCAGACCAGCCGGUCAAAACCAGGAACACAAUAAUUUUAUCUCGUACACACUUGUUUAAAACAACAAACAGGCUUCAACGAUCGAAUUUACUACUUCUGAUGUACAUUUACAAAGAAAAGAAUUGGUACGUGAAGAAACUAAAAUAACUCAUUUCGAAGUUUCUGAUUCCCUAACAGAGAUGAAGCUAGAAGAAGAUCAUUGCGUUCUUUUACUAGCAAUGUUGCCUUUCUAUACUUGUUGAACUAACCUUUUCGUCUCCAUUUGAUUCAAGAAUCUGUCUUUUCUUCUACGACAACUUGCUUUAAGGUCUUGGUAUGCGUUUCGUUUGUCACCGGUAAGUCCACGAGCGUUUGUGGAGGAGCAAAGUACAUAUGCAGCGACAUGAUGCAUAUGAUUAUACCCAAGAAAAGCUGCAGGAUUAAAGAAUAUCCAAAUGAGGCAUAUACAGGAAAGAGGAUCCGAUCCUAAGAUAAAUCAUACACAAACCUGCAGUGUUGGUUUGAAGCUGAAGAGGUAUAUGGAUGCAACCAUAGUAAGAAGCAUUGCCAUUGAUGUAGAAUAUACCUAAAAGACAAAUGUAAAUGUGUGUUUGAAAACAGAUUUUUCUUUUACUUACUUAUGUUUGAUGAUGAAGAACAAGAAUGAUCAUUUUACCUUCACAAUAUUGUCUGCAUACUUCAUUAACCAGGAGACCAGUAAGCCAGUGGAUCCGAGAUUCAGAACUACCAUCCAAGUGGUGAUGCUAUACCCAUCAAAGAUACGUUGCCACCAAGGACCCUUUUCAAACCCGUGUCGGAAAUCAUCUGCUAUAAGCCGGGCAACGUUGAAAAGAGAACCAAACCUGGUGACGAGUAAAGAAACAAAAGGUACGAUGAUUAAACCAUGGAUAUCAUUGGUUAAUGAAAAGGCUGCUAAGUUGAAUAAGUAGUGUGACAAUAACAUUCUUGGCAUGAGAAAGUUUGAUCUGAAGAAGAGAUACCUACGUAUAUAACUGCAAGUUUUGCCAGUAUAAGGUGUCGUUGUUUCUCUUCAUCAGAAACUCUGUGUAGAUUCCGGCUAGCGCAGACAAACCAGCUGAGAGGAUGCCCAGCAAAUAACCUUGUAUAGGUGCCGUGAAUAAAGAAUCACAUGAAGCUUCUCCACAUCCCUUAACCUGAGACAAGAAGACAAAUUGAAUGCUUGAAAUUUUGAUGCCAGCUUAGCUUUUGGAUUGCCAGAACAAAAGCAGUGUGCUGAAUGCUAAGUAGAACAACAUAAGGUUCUAAGCAGUAUGACAAAAAGGAGAACAUAAUACACAAUUCAAAAUGUUUAUGCAUCAUCUCACCUGGCUGGUAGUUGUUCCAACAGCUAAAAGACCAAUCGCCAUCCACUGAAGUUUAGAUAGUCUCCUUUUCAAAAAUAACCUAUAACAACGACAGAUUACAAAUUAGUUAGUUAACCCAAAGAGAGAGCUUGGCACAAAAGGAUAGUAUAGAGAAAGAGAAGGCACACAAAACAGAUACCUAAACAGUAUGCCAGUGGUCACAAUCUUCAAAUUACCCAUAAUCUGAUAAGUGGAUGUGUCCACAUNNNNNNNNNNNNNNNNNNNNNNNNNNNNNNNNNNNNNNNNNNNNNNNNNNNNNNNNNNNNNNNNNNNNNNNNNNNNNNNNNNNNNNNNNNNNNNNNNNNNCAAAUAAGCGCACACUCUUCCAAUCCGUAGUAAUCCUAGCAGUAGUUGAAGAAGAUGUCCGCAUCUCUCUCCAGAGAAAUAAACCAGAAAUGAUCAGCUGUAGAAGAGAAGUAAACAAACUCAGCAGCUAAAUAAGAAAUGCAAAAAAACCAGUACCAGCAUCAAGCUUUUUAGAGAAGAACAAGAUACCUUAAAAAGUUCAGCAAGAAAGGGUACAGUUGCGUAAUCAUACUUAUAACCUCCAUCGCUUUGAGAAAGAGUUGUUAAAAUCCCCUGUAACAUAAUUUUACUCAGUGAGAGAAAUAGAAACAAAAACUUAUCUAUCACUUUCGAAAUCUAUCCCGUGAAUAUCAUUGCCAACAUUUCAAUCUCAAACCUAAACACAGAACAUAAAAGUAUGAUGAUCAAGACUUCUAUAGACUAAUAAUAACAGCUUUCAGUGGAAACACAACACUCAGCAAAAAUUCUUCAGCUACAAAUAAUGAACAGUCAAUCUACAAAAUCACAAGCAUAAAGUGAGACAGAAUGAAUUCUAAGAAACCUAGCCAAAAUAGAAUGAAAUGGUCCCUAAAUCGUCAGAGAAGCAAUCGAGCACUCGCAAACGCAAAUUGAGUAUCUAAUCUAACACUGCUUGACGCCUUGGAAAAGAGCAAUAUCACACUCUAACCGACAUGAUCCAGAAUUAGAUUUGGCGACAGUAACACCACCGAGAACUCAAGAUCUAUAAACUCGACAUAAUUCUAAGAAUUCAUGGAGCGAAGAUAACAAUCUCGAUAACAAAAUCUCGAUUCGAUCAUAUUUAGCGCGACAGAAGAAGAAGAAGAAGACGAAGCAAAGAAGAAAGGAAUUGGAACCUGAGAGCUGGUGAGAAUGGUGAGAAGUACAGCAACAAAAUACCACGGAGUAGCCACCAUUCUUCUUCUUCUUCUUCGUCUUCGACUUCACACGACGAGCUCACUCAUCAUUUUCUCCUCUUCUCAACUGUACACAAUCGAUUCGCAUCACCGGCGUCAAAUUUUUCUUUCUCGCCUUCGCCAAUAAAAAAAAUAAAAAAAAUGCUAAAGUUGGAAAUUGGGCUUUUGGGCUUGACCAUUAUCAAACUUAUGGGCCUUAAAUAUAUGUCCGUUGUCCUUUGAUCGGCGAAAGCAAUAGAAAUAACAAAUUCUAAUAUGAAAAUAUUCACAUCUGCUUUGCAACAAGGCACUAUAAACAAUCGAAAUGAGACACAGAAUCUUCAUUUUUUCUCUCUCCACCUGACUGACUUUUCAAGUCGCAUUCCUGUCAAUAGAUUUGUAGCUUUCGAAGUAGCUUAAAUAAAAUAUAUACAUCCACUCCACACAGAGUACAUACAUAUUAAGAUAUGUUUAUGAUGAUAGUGAAACUAGAGAAGAGAAGAGGGUUUUGGCAAAAUAAUAUUUAAAGGGUCAAGUACAACCAAUUCUUGAUCAUCGUCUAGAGGCUGAAUUUGCUUCUCAUUAUGCUACUAAGAAGAUAGAACAAGUGCGGCUCCUGCAACGCCUCCUGCAGCGACUCCUGCAGCUGCUAUAAACAUAGCGGUAGCUAUUUGGAGGCCGCCACUUCCACGGAAGAGUCUCCUCAAGAUCAGUUUGCAGGACUUGUCAGCUUCUUUGUAAAGAAAACAAUCGGAUACUCCUUCAGUGAUGGCUUUUUGGUUCUACAGGCAUACAUAGCAGGGGAGGUCAGAUAUGAAGAUACAGGUGAAAUUAGUUAUAGCAUAGAAGAGCUAUAAGAAAGGCAUUACCUUUGUCCUGAAGUUAUGUACAGUAUCAUUGACAGCGAGAGUAUCACUCUGUAGUUUGAGGGAAUGAUCCUUCCAUCCGUCUACAAGCUUUUUAAGAAGAGCAACACUAGCUUCUAUAUUUUUUUUGUAGAGAAUAUCCCAUUGCUUAAAACAAUCAACGUUUUCGGUCACACAGCUGAUAGCAAUUGAUGUAGCUUCAUUGGCUAGAAAAGGAUUUCCUGCAUCUACACCUUCUCCAGCUAGUUUCAAGGAAAACGUGAAUAUCUGUUUCAGUGUGUUGCUUCCUGGUGCAAAGGCUACUUCCUUCAACAAGGGGUAAAUAGUCCCAAACCUCUCUGUUACCUGUGCGCACCAUGCUUGUGAUCAAAACUGACAACCGCAUCAAGGUUUUGUUUU